rnacentral:rRNA from 1 species
AUUGAACGCUGGCGGCAUGCCUUACACAUGCAAGUCGAACGGUAACAGGUUAAGCUGACGAGUGGCGAACGGGUGAGUAAUGUAUCGGAACGUGCCCAGUCGUGGGGGAUAACUUCUCGAAAGAUCAGCUAAUACCGCAUACGACCUGAUGGUGAAAGCGGGGGAUCGCAAGACCUCGCGCGAUUGGAGCGGCCGAUAUCAGAUUAGGUAGUUGGUGAGGUAAAGGCUCACCAAGCCGACGAUCUGUAGCUGGUCUGAGAGGACGACCAGCCACACUGGGACUGAGACACGGCCCAGACUCCUACGGGAGGCAGCAGUGGGGAAUUUUGGACAAUGGGCGCAAGCCUGAUCCAGCCAUGCCGCGUGCGGGAAGAAGGCCUUCGGGUUGUAAACCGCUUUUGUCAGGGAAGAAAAGGUUCUGGCUAAUACCUGGGACUCAUGACGGUACCUGAAGAAUAAGCACCGGCUAACUACGUG